GCCCCUGUGGCGGAAUUGGUAGACGCGACGGAUUCAAAAUCCGUUUUCUUCGGGAGUGCCGGUUCGAGUCCGGCCGGGGGCACCA
rnacentral:tRNA from 2 species